AGUAAGCGAGGCGACCGCCCGAAACCAGAUGUUCGGGAGGAAAGUCCGAGCUCCGUAGGGCAGAGUGCCGGAUAACACCCGGUGAAGGCGACUUCAAGGAAAGUGCAACAGAAAUAAACCGCCUCUUAACGAGGUAAGGAUGGAAAGGCGAGGUAAGAGCUCACCGGCGGCUUGGCGACUUGUCCGCCCUGUAAACCCCACUCGGAGCAAGAUUGGAAUGAGAGCAUUUAAUGGCUGCCCGUCACGCUCUCGGAAAUCGCUAAAGCCUACUGGCAACUUUAGGCGCAGAUAGAUGGUCGCACAGCGGAUAAAGCCUUUCCCUGCGUGCAGGCGAAAGUGCGGCGGAAACGCAACCGUGGACAGAACUCGGCUUACCGCUU
rnacentral:RNase_P_RNA from 1 species